AACGAACGCUGGCGGCAGGCUUAACACAUGCAAGUCGAGCGCCCCGCAAGGGGAACGGCAGACGGGUGAGUAACGCGUGGGAAUCUACCCAUCUCUACGGAAUAACGCAUGGAAACGUGUGCUAAUACCGUAUACGUCCUUCGGGAGAAAGAUUUAUCGGAGAUGGAUGAGCCCGCGUUGGAUUAGCUAGUUGGUGGGGUAAAGGCCUACCAAGGCGACGAUCCAUAGCUGGUCUGAGAGGAUGAUCAGCCACACUGGGACUGAGACACGGCCCAGACUCCUACGGGAGGCAGCAGUGGGGAAUAUUGGACAAUGGGCGCGAGCCUGAUCCAGCCAUGCCGCGUGAGUGAUGAAGGCCCUAGGGUUGUAAAGCUCUUUCACCGGUGAAGAUAAUGACGGUAACCGGAGAAGAAGCCCCGGCUAACUUCGUGCCAGCCGCCGCGGUAACAC
rnacentral:rRNA from 1 species